GUCUAUGGCCAUGCCACCCUGAACAAGCCCAAUCCUGUCUGAUCUCGGAAGCUAAGCAGGGUUGGGCCUGGUUAGUCUUGGAUGGGAGACCACCUAGGAAGACCAGAUGCUGUAGAUG
rnacentral:rRNA from 1 species